rnacentral:lncRNA from 1 species
UCUCGUUUAGUAUUUAAAGCUAAUUUAAAUGUGAUAAAACAUUAAUAAUUAUUUAUUUUAAUUUCUUGUUGUAUAGUCUUUCAUAUAUUAUCCAGGUUUUUUUAUAAAAAUUUGAUUGGUUCAUUGAUGUAAUUUUUGCAAUAUUUUUUCAUAGUGAGAUUCGUGACAUCACAACGCGGAAAAACACUGCUAAGCGUUGGCGGUUAUACCUUCUGUGCACAAGUUAGAAAUGGACUUAAGACCAGAUGGACUUGUUCCACCCACAACUGUUACAGAUACGUCACAUCCCAAAAAGGGAAACCUCUCUUAGAAAUGGCCGGAUACAAGUUUUGCAAGAAGUCUACAUGUCAUGUGAAAACCAACAAUGGUGUGUGAAUACUACAAGUCUCCGAAAACUGGUAAACUGAUGAUCAAAAUUGGGUCGUACACGUUCUGUCAGAUCAAGUCGCAGGGCGUCAAGACCAGAUGGGUCUGUUCCACCCACGUGUUCAAGGGCUGCCGAGCCAAGAUCCACACUUUGGACAACCAGAUCAUAAUGAUGUUUAACAAUCAUAACCACUAAAGCAUUUUGUGGGGCCUUCGACUACAGUGUUGCAUUAUGCCAAAGGCGAACUGAUAGAUAAUGUAUUAACAUUAAGUUUUAACCUACUUAAAAAAAGAGGGGGUAUUCAAUUCGACCGUAUUUUUUUUAUGUAGGUAUAUUACCGAAUAUAUUUGACAUUUUAUAUUCCGUCUUGAAAAAUAAUUCAAAAAAGUAAGGCGUCUGAUUGGUCUCAUAGAAAUUUAGUUAGGAUUGGCUCAUAAAUGUGGAAGAUAUUCCAGAGAAAUUAUACCAAAAUAAUAUAUUUGCUUCAUUUAUAUGUCAAUUACGGAAAGAUUGUACACACUAUACCUACUGUUUGACCAUCAUCAGCUCAUGUAGGUAGGUUAGGUACCUACCUACAAUCGCCUAGGUACGACGUAUUGUUUGUUUUAUUUU